rnacentral:rRNA from 1 species
UACAGAGGUGGCAAGCGUUGUUCGGAAUUACUGGGCGUAAAGGGCGCGUAGGCGGCCUUCUAAGUCAGACGUGAAAUCCCCCCGGCUUAACCUGGGAACUGCGUCUGAUACUGGAGGGCUUGAGUAUGGGAGAGGGAUGUAGAAUUCCAGGUGUAGCGGUGAAAUGCGUAGAUAUCUGGAGGAAUACCGGUGGCGAAGGCGGCAUCCUGGACCAUUACUGACGCUGAGGCGCGAAAGCUAGGGGAGCAAACGGG